rnacentral:rRNA from 1 species
UACGUAGGGUGCGAGCGUUGCCCGGAUUUAUUGGGCGUAAAGGGCGCGUAGGCGGCCACGCACGUCCGUUGUGAAAUCGCCCGGCUCAACUGGGCGGGGUCAGCGGAUACGGUGUGGCUCGAGCAAGCUAGGGGGCAAUGGAACUCCCGGUGUAGUGGUGGAAUGCGUAGAUAUCGGGAAGAACACCAGUGGCGAAGGCGGUUGCCUGGAGCUUUGCUGACGCUGAUGCGCGAAAGCGUGGGGAGCAAACAGG